GCUGGAUAGCUGAGUUGGUAUGGGAGUGGUGCUAAUAACGCCAAGGUUGCAGGUUCGAUGCCUGUAUGGGAGAGCUGCA